rnacentral:rRNA from 1 species
UACGUAGGGUGCAAGCGUUAAUCGGAAUUACUGGGCGUAAAGCGUGCGCAGGCGGUUUUGUAAGACCGAUGUGAAAUCCCCGGGCUUAACCUGGGAACUGCAUUGGUGACUGCAAGGCUUGAGUGUGUCAGAGGGAGGUGGAAUUCCGCGUGUAGCAGUGAAAUGCGUAGAUAUCGGGAGGAACACCAGUGGCGAAGGCGGCGAUCUGGGCAGAUACUGACGCUGAGGUGCGAAAGCGUGGGGAGCAAACAGG